rnacentral:rRNA from 1 species
UACGGAGGGGGCUAGCGUUGUUCGGAAUUACUGGGCGUAAAGCGCACGUAGGCGGCUUUGUAAGUUAGAGGUGAAAGCCCGGGGCUCAACUCCGGAAUUGCCUUUAAAACUGCAUCGCUAGAAUUGUGGAGAGGUAAGUGGAAUUCCGAGUGUAGAGGUGAAAUUCGUGGAUAUUCGGAAGAACACCAGUGGCGAAGGCGACUUACUGGACACAUAUUGACGCUGAGGUGCGAAAGCGUGGGGAGCAAACAGG